UACGUAGGGGGCAAGCGUUGUCCGGAUUUAUUGGGCGUAAAGAGCGUGUAGGCGGCUUUACAGGUCCGUUGUGAAAACUCGAGGCUCAACCUCGAGACGCCGGUGGAAACCGUAAGGCUAGAGUCCGGAAGAGGAGAGUGGAAUUCCUGGUGUAGCGGUGAAAUGCGUAGAUAUCUGGAGGAACACCGGUGGCGAAGGCGGCAUCCUGGACCGGCAUUGACGCUGAGGCGCGAAAGCUAGGGGAGCAAACGGG
rnacentral:rRNA from 1 species